rnacentral:rRNA from 1 species
UGUACCUACGGGGGGCAGCAGUGGGGAAUAUUGCACAAUGGGGGAAACCCUGAUGCAGCGACGCCGCGUGAGUGAAGAAGUAUCUCGGUACGUAAAGCUCUAUCAGCAGGGAAGAAAAAAAGUCUUUGGCUUUGGACGGUACCUGACUAAGAAGCCCCGGCUAACUACGUGCCAGCAGCCGCGGUAAUACGUAGGGGGCAAGCGUUAUCCGGAUUUACUGGGUGUAAAGGGAGCGUAGACGGUGUGGCAAGUCUGAAGUGAAAGCCCGGGGCUCAACCCCGGGACUGCUUUGGAAACUGUCAUGC